AUCGAUGAAGAACGCAGCGAAAUGCGAUAAGUAAUGUGAAUUGCAGAAUUCAGUGAAUCAUCGAAUCUUUGAACGCACAUUGCGCCCGCUGGAAUUCCAGCGGGCAUGCCUGUUCGAGCGUCAUUUCACCCCUCAAGCCUUGCUUGGUGUUGGAGCACUACCGUUUGUAUAAAGCGGUAGGCUCUGAAAUUCAGUGGCGGGCUCGCUAAGACUCUGAGCGUAGUAGUUUAUCACCUCGCUUUGGAAGGAUUAGCGGUGCUCUUGCCGUAAAACCCCCCAAUUUCUGAAUUUUGACCUCGGAUCAGGUAGGAAUACCCGCUGAACUUAAGCAUAUCAAUAAGCGGAGGAAAAGAAACCAACAGGGAUUGCCCUAGUAACGGCGAGUGAAGCGGCAACAGCUCAAAUUUGAAAUCUGGCUUCGGCCCGAGUUGUAAUUUGCAGAGGAUGUUUCUGGCGCGGUGCCUUCCGAGUUCCCUGGAACGGGACGCCAUAGAGGGUGAGAGCCCCGUAUGGUUGGAUACCAAGCCUGUGUGAAACUCCUUCAACGAGUCGAGUAGUUUGGGAAUGCUGCUCAAAAUGGGAGGUAAAUCUCUUCUAAAGCUAAAUAUUGGCCAGAGACCGAUAGCGCACAAGUAGAGUGAUCGAAAGAUGAAAAGCACCUUGAAAAGGGGGUUAAACAGUACGUGAAAUUGUUGAAAGGGAAGCGCUCAUGACCAGACUUGUGCUGGGCAGCUCAUCCGGGGUUCUCCCCGGUGCACUCUGCCCAGUUCAGGCCAGCAUCGAUUUUUGCUGGGGGAUAAGAACGGUAGGAACGUGGCCCUCCUUCGGGAGGGUGUUAUAGCCUGCCGUACGAUACCCUGGCGGAGAUCGAGGUUCGCGCAUCUGCAAGGAUGCUGGCGUAAUGGUCAUCAGCGACCCGUCUUGAAACACGG
rnacentral:rRNA from 1 species